rnacentral:rRNA from 1 species
UUGACCUCGGAUCAGGUAGGAAUACCCGCUGAACUUACAACAGGGAUUGCCCUAGUAACGGCGAGUGAAGCGGCAACAGCUCAAAUUUGAAAUCUGGCUCUCGGGCCCGAGUUGUAAUUUGUAGAGGAUACUUUUGAUGCGGUGCCUUCCGAGUUCCCUGGAACGGGACGCCAUAGAGGGUGAGAGCCCCGUCUGGUUGGAUGCCAAAUCUCUGUAAAGUUCCUUCGACGAGUCGAGUAGUUUGGGAAUGCUACUCUAAAUGGGAGGUAUAUGUCUUCUAAAGCUAAAUACCGGCCAGAGACCGAUAGCGCACAAGUAGAGUGAUCGAAAGAUGAAAAGCACUUUGAAAAGAGAGUUAAAAAGUACGUGAAAUUGUUGAAAGGGAAGCGUUUAUGACCAGACUUGGGCUUGGUUAAUCAUCUGGGGUUCUCCCCAGUGCACUUUUCCAGUCCAGGCCAGCAUCAGUUUUCCCCGGGGGAUAAAGACUUCGGGAAUGUGGCUCUCUUCGGGGAGUGUUAUAGCCCGUUGUGUAAUACCCUGGGGGGGACUGAGGUUCGCGCAUCUGCAAGGAUGCUGGCGUAAUGGUCAUCAACGA